UACGUAGGGUGCAAGCGUUGUCCGGAAUUAUUGGGCGUAAAGAGCUCGUAGGCGGUUUGUCACGUCGGAUGUGAAACCCUGAGGCUCAACCUCAGGCCUGCAUUCGAUACGGGCAGACUAGAAUUCGGCAGGGGAGACUGGAAUUCCUGGUGUAGCGGUGAAAUGCGCAGAUAUCAGGAGGAACACCGGUGGCGAAGGCGGCUUUCUGGUCUGUAACUGACG
rnacentral:rRNA from 1 species